rnacentral:rRNA from 1 species
UGGGGAAUAUUGGACAAUGGGGGGAACCCUGAUCCAGCAAUGCCGCGUGUGUGAAGAAGGCCUGCGGGUUGUAAAGCACUUUCAGUGGGGAGGAGGGGUAUUUGGUUAAGAGCUGGAUAUUUGGACGUUACCCACAGAAGAAGCACCGGCUAACUCCGUGCCAGCAGCCGCGGUAAUACGGAGGGUGCGAGCGUUAAUCGGAAUUACUGGGCGUAAAGGGUGCGUAGGUGGUUUGAUAAGUUAUCUGUAAAAUCCCCGGGCUUAACCUGGGCAGGUCAGAUAAGACUGUUGGACUUGAGUACAGGAGAGGGCAGUGGAAUUUCCGGUGUAGCGGUGAAAUGCGUAGAGAUCGGAAGGAACACCAGUGGCGAAGGCGGCUGCCUGGCCUGAUACUGACACUGAGGCACGAAAGCGUGGGGAGCAAACAGG